GACAAGGUUCCAGGCCUACGGGGCGCAGCAGGCGCGAAACCUCCGCGAUGUGAGAAAUCGCGACGGGGGGAUCCCAAGUGCCAUUCUUAACGGGAUGGCUUUUCAUUAGUGUAAAGAGCUUUUGGAAUAAGAGCUGGGCAAGACCGGUGCCAGCCGCCGCGGUAACACCGGCAGCUCUAGUGGUAGCAAUUUUUAUUGGGCCUAAAGCGUCCGUAGCCGGUUUAAUAAGUCUCUGGUGAAAUCCUGUAGCUUAACUGUGGGAAUUGCUGGAGAUACUAUUAGACUUGAGACCGGGAGAGGUUAGAGGUACUCCCAGGGUAGAGGUGAAAUUCUGUAAUCCUGGGAGGACCGCCUGUUGCGAAGGCGUCUAACUGGAACGGUUCUGACGGUGAGGGACGAAAGUUAGGGGCGCGAACCGGAUUAGAUACCCGGGUAGUCCUAACUGUAAACGAUGCGGACUUGGUGUUGGGGUGGCUUUGAGCUGCUCCAGUGCCGAAGGGAAGCUGUUAAGUCCGCCGCCUGGGAAGUACGGUCGCAAGACUGAAACUUAA
rnacentral:rRNA from 1 species